ensembl:snRNA U6 U6 spliceosomal RNA
GUGCUUGCUUUGGCAGCACACAUACUAAAAUUGAAAUGAUACAGAGAAGAUUAGCAUGGCCUCUGUGCAGAAUGACACCCAGAUGCAUAGUGUUCCAUAUUUUC